CUCUGGGAAGGGUUGUGGUACAGUGUAAAUCCUGGCUGAUACUUGGUGUUGGCUCACCCAUUGGCCUUGACUAGGAUGAAUGGUUAUGUAUUGUUUAUGCUGCGGUAAUGCCUCAGGGCAAUGACAAUUCAGUGAGAGAGCUGGACCCUGUACAAAUGUCCAACUGGAUGGAUAAACUCUGAAAGAACAGUCUGCCAGAAAAACUGUCAGAACAGGAAGAAAAUAUCCCCAUGAAACUUUUAUGCAUGUGGUUUUGGUCUUCUGGGUUGAAUCACUGUGCCAUGACUUUGAAGAUCACUCCAGAAUCCAGAGCUACUCACAGCAGCAAGUCAUGGAGGUUUUGGAGCACAAGAUGCCAGGAGCGAGUUGAAAAAGAAGGCUUUUACAUACCCUGCUGCUCUGCCUGGGAGGUAAAAAGGGGUAAUCUUUUUGCACACCACACGAAGCAGGUGAUAUUCUUUUGCUACCAGAAGGAUCUGAAAACUUUGUGGAAAUGGUGCUGUUUAAUACUUUCCCAUGGCAAAGGUUAGCUCCUACGUGUGUGUGUUGGUUGAAUAAAACAUUUUCUUA